AACGUAGGAGGCGAGCGUUAUCCGGAUUUACUGGGCGUAAAGCGUGUGCAGGCGGUUCGGCAAGUUGGAUGUGAAAGCUCCUGGCUUAACUAGGAGAGGUCGUUCAAUACUACCGAACUUGAAGGCAUCAGAGGAAGAUGGAAUUCCCGGUGUAGUGGUGAAAUGCGUAGAUAUCGGGAGGAACACCAGUGGCGAAGGCGGUCUUCUGGGAUGCUCUUGACGCUCAUACACGAAAGCUAGGGUAGCGAACGGG
rnacentral:rRNA from 1 species